rnacentral:piRNA from 1 species
UGAGAUUUUCUCUGUGACUCUGCCAGGA